rnacentral:lncRNA from 1 species
CACGAUCAACAGCAAGACAAGAAUCAAAACUCAACUCAUAACGCAAAUCAGUUGUUUUAUUUGAGUUGACCAAAGUCUCAUACAAUAUCAUUACAUCCGGUUUAUAUCUACGGAUGAGGUAUUUCAAAUGGAGAACUGCACUCGGGUUACCCAAUCCCCGGCAAUUCCAACUAAUGACACUCAUUUAGCCUUAUUUUUAGUAUC